rnacentral:rRNA from 1 species
ACCUUCGGGCCUCUUGCCAUCAGAUGUGCCCAGAUGGGAUUAGCUUGUUGGUGAGGUAACGGCUCACCAAGGCGACGAUCCCUAGCUGGUCUGAGAGGAUGACCAGCCACACUGGAACUGAGACACGGUCCAGACUCCUACGGGAGGCAGCAGUGGGGAAUAUUGCACAAUGGGCGCAAGCCUGAUGCAGCCAUGCCGCGUGUAUGAAGAAGGCCUUCGGGUUGUAAAGUACUUUCAGCGGGGAGGAAGGUGUUGUGGUUAAUAACCGCAGCAAUUGACGUUACCCGCAGAAGAAGCACCGGCUAACUCCGUGCCAGCAGCCGCGGUAAUACGGAGGGUGCAAGCGUUAAUCGGAAUUACUGGGCGUAAAGCGCACGCAGGCGGUCUGUCAAGUCGGAUGUGAAAUCCCCGGGCUCAACCUGGGAACUGCAUUCGAAACUGGCAGGCUUGAGUCUUGUAGAGGGGGGUAGAAUUCCAGGUGUAGCGGUGAAAUGCGUAGAGAUCUGGAGGAAUACCGGUGGCGAAGGCGGCCCCCUGGACAAAGACUGACGCUCAGGUGCGAAAGCGUGGG